rnacentral:rRNA from 1 species
UACAGAGGGUGCGAGCGUUAAUCGGAUUUACUGGGCGUAAAGGGCGCGUAGGCGGUUUAGUGAGUGUGAUGUGAAAGCCCCGGGCUUAACCUGGGAAGUGCAUCGCAAACGACUGAACUGGAGUAGGUGAGAGGGUGGCGGAAUUUCCGGUGUAGCGGUGAAAUGCGUAGAGAUCGGAAGGAACGUCAAUGGCGAAGGCAGCCACCUGGCACCAUACUGACGCUGAGGCGCGAAAGCGUGGGGAGCGAACAGG